rnacentral:rRNA from 1 species
AUGAAAAAUUUCAUCAAGGAAAAAGUGCAGUCCUGCCUCAUUUGUCAACAAGCUAAACCAGAAAGAUUCAACUAUCCAGGAUUAUUAUCACCUCUGCCAGUUCCUAAGAAGGCUUGGGAAUAUCUCACUAUGGAUUUUAUAUCUGGAUUGCCAGUAUCAGGUCAAUUUGACUGUAUUUUCCUGGUAAUUGAUAAGUUCGGUUGCUGA